rnacentral:rRNA from 1 species
UACGGAGGGUGCGAGCGUUGUCCGGAAUCACUGGGCGUAAAGGGCGCGUAGGCGGCCUGAUAAGUAGGGGGGUGAAAUCCUGCGGCUUAACCGCAGGGCUGCCUUCUAAACUGUCAGGCUAGAGCACAGUAGAGGCAGGUGGAAUUCCCGGUGUAGCGGUGGAAUGCGUAGAGAUCGGGAAGAACAUCAGUGGCGAAGGCGGCCUGCUGGGCUGUUGCUGACGCUGAGGCGCGACAGCGUGGGGGGGCAAACAGG